rnacentral:rRNA from 1 species
AACGAACGCUGGCGGCGUGCCUAACACAUGUAAGUCGAACGUGAUUGAGGUGCUUGCACCUCAUGAAAGUGGCGCACGGGUGAGUAACGCGUAGAUAAUCUGCCUGGUGAUUUGGGAUAACACUUCGAAAGGGGUGCUAAUACCGGAUAAGCCCACGAGCUCUUUGGAGCAUGCGGGAAAAGGAGGGGACCUUCGGGCCUUCCGUCAUCAGAUGAGUCUGCGUACCAUUAGCUAGUUGGUAGGGUAAAGGCCUACCAAGGCGACGAUGGUUAGCUGGUCUGAGAGGAUGAUCAGCCACACUGGAACUGAGACACGGUCGAGACUCCUACGGGAGGCAGCAGUGGGGAAUUUUGCGCAAUGGGGGAAACCCUGACGCAGCAACGCCGCGUGAGUGAUGAAGGCCCUUGGGUCGUAAAGCUCUGACAGAGGGAAAGAAAUGUGGGUGGCUAAUAUCCAUUCCACUUGACGGUACCCUCAAAGGAAGCACCGGCUAACUCCGUGCCAGCCGCCGCGGUAA